UACGUAGGGUGCAAGCGUUUGUCCGGAAUUAUUGGGCGUAAAGAGCUCGUAGGCGGUUUGUCGCGUCUGCCGUGAAAGUCCGGGGCUCAACUCCGGAUCUGCGGUGGGUACGGGCAGACUAGAGUGUGGUAGGGGAGACUGGAAUUCCUGGUGUAGCGGUGAAAUGCGCAGAUAUCGGGAGGAACACCAAUGGCGAAGGCAGCUCGCUGGGACGGUACUGACGCUGAGACGCGAAAGCGUGGGGAGCAAACAGG
rnacentral:rRNA from 1 species